rnacentral:rRNA from 1 species
AGUGAACGCUGGCGGUAGGCCUAACACAUGCAAGUCGAACGGCAGCACAGUAAGAGCUUGCUCUUACGGGUGGCGAGUGGCGGACGGGUGAGGAAUACAUCGGAAUCUACUUUUUCGUGGGGGAUAACGUAGGGAAACUUACGCUAAUACCGCAUACGACCUACGGGUGAAAGCAGGGGAUCUUCGGACCUUGCGCGAUUGAAUGAGCCGAUGUCGGAUUAGCUAGUUGGCGGGGUAAAGGCCCACCAAGGCGACGAUCCGUAGCUGGUCUGAGAGGAUGAUCAGCCACACUAGAACUGGGACACGGUCCAUACUCCUACGGGAGGCAGCAGAGGGGAAUAUUGGACAAUGGGGGCAAGCCUGAUCCAGCCAUACCGCGUGGGUGAAGAAGGCCUUCGGGUUGUAAAGCCCUUUUGUUGGGAAAGAAAAGCAGCAGGUUAAUACCCCGCUGUUCUGACGGUACCCAAAGAAUAAGCACCGGCUAACUUCGUG